GACGAACGCUGGCGGCGUGCCUAAUACAUGCAAGUCGAACGCUGAAGUAGGAGCUUGCUCUUCUGGAUGAGUUGCGAACGGGUGAGUAACGCGUAGGUAACCUGCCUGUUAGCGGGGGAGAACUCUUGGAAACGCUGGCUAAUACCGCAUAAGAGUAGAUGUUGCAUGUCAUUUACUUAAAAGAUGCAAUUGCAUCACUACCAGAUGGACCUGCGUUGUCUUAUCUAGUUGGUGGUGUAACGGCUUUACAAGGCGACGAUACAGAGUCGGCCUGGGAAGGGGGUUGGCCACACUGGGAACGGGACACGGGCCAGACCUCUACGGGAGGCAGCAGUAGGGGAACCUCCGGAAUGGACGGAAGGCUGACCGAGCAACGCCGGGUGAGUGAAGAAGGUUUUCGGAUCGGAAAGAUCUGUUGAAAGGGAAGGACGAGUGUGAGAGGGGAAAGUGCACGCUGUGACGGUACCUUAUCAGAAAGGGACGGCUAACUACGUG
rnacentral:rRNA from 1 species